rnacentral:rRNA from 1 species
AUACGGAGGAUCCGAGCGUUAUCCGGAUUUAUUGGGUUUAAAGGGUGCGCAGACGGCCAUUUAAGUCAGCGGUUAAAUCGUGGGGCUCAACCCCAUUCUGCCGUUGAUACUGGGUGGCUUGAUUGCGGUCGAGGUUGGCGGAAUUCGUUGUGUAGCGGUGAAAUGCAUAGAUAUGACGAAGAACACCGAUUGCGUAGGCAGCUGACCAGACCGCAAAUGACGCUCAUGCACGAAAGUGCGGGGAUCGAACAGGAUUAGAUACCCUGGUAGUCCGCACAGUAAACGAUGAAUACUUGUUUUCGGCGAUAUAAUGUCGGAGGCAAAGCGAAAGCGAUAAGUAUUCCACCUGGGGAGUACGCCGGCAACGGUGAAACUUAAAGGAAUUGACGGGG